GACGUGCGUUUUUCGUUGAGUGAUCGCAGUCGCAGCUCACCAAGUUUCUUUUUAAAUUCGGUAAUGCUAUUAUUGCAAUCUAGCGAAUCACUUGCUAUCGUUGGUUUAUGUGCACUUUUCGUCACACGAAAUAUUAUGGAGAUUUUCAUUGGGUAAAUACGAUAGAUCGACGAUUGCGUUUUGUGAUUACAAACCGGUGCAUUAUAGCGUUCGGUUUGUUUGUAAACACGUCUAGAGUCAACCUCAUGUUUUGCGGUUAUUAAUAUUUCCAAUUGGAAUUCUCUGUGUUCGUUAGUUGACAUUCUGCAGCCCAAAAAAAAUUAGUAAAAACAAUCGUUGGAGAACUAUUCUCGCAACAGAUUGUGUUUUGAACCUGAAUCCGACAUCGUAGGAGAACAAUUCUUGUAUCAGAUUGUGUUUUGAACCUGAAUCCGACAUCGUAGGAGAACAAUUCUUGUAUCAGAUUGUGUUUUGAACCUGAACCCGACAUCGUAGGAGAACAAUUCUUGUAUCAGAUUGUGUUUUGAACCUGAACCCGACAUCGUAGGAGAACAAUUCUUGUAUCAGAUUGCGUUUUGAACCUGAACCCGACGUUGUAGAAAAACGAUUCUUAUAUCAGAUUGU